rnacentral:lncRNA from 1 species
UUAUUGCCACCUCCUCUCCUUAGGCAUGGAUCCUUCUUAGGCAUCCCACCUAUUGGUGUGAGGUGUCACACUAGCACAUCUCAUCUCUCGAUUGAUUGAGUUGUGAAGGCAAUUAAAUUAGAGUUUAUCCUGCUUUCCUGCGACGUCUGAUGUGCAUGUGAAGUAGAAGGAUCUGCACAUCCAGACCUCUACGAAGGUUUAUAUCAGAUAAUUUAAAAUUUGAUCCCUGGU